AAUGGGUCAAUUUUAUGCGUUCAAUGGAUGCCUAGGUGCAACACACCGAAGAAGGACGUAGAGGGCUUACGAUAAGUACCGGUGAGCUGCCGUCAAGCUUUGAUCCGGUAAUUUCCGAAUGGGGAAACCCGCUUGUGCAUGGCACAAGAGGUUUGUUAAGAGGUUACGGUUACAAUGCCAGUAUCGUUUAGCGGUUACGUUUAGCGUUAAUAUUACGUUUGACGUCUAACUUUUUACGAAACGGGUUUCGUUACCGAUAAACCCUAAACGAAUUUCUUGCGCUGUGCAUGAGCACUUUAGUGCGAAUACAUAAGCGCUAGAGAGGGUACCGCCUGAACUGAAACAUCUAAGUAAGGCGAGGAAAAGAAAACAAACCAGUGAUUCCCUAAGUAGUGGCGAGCGAAAGGGGAAGAGCCUAAAC
rnacentral:ncRNA from 1 species